rnacentral:pre_miRNA from 1 species
AGUGGGAUAACUGGGUAAAGUGGUGGUUCCAUUCCAAGUUUUGUGAGGAAUCUCCAUACUGCUUUCCAGAGUGGUUGGACCAAUUUUCAUUCCCACUAGCAAU